GACGAACGCUGGCGGCGUGCUUAACACAUGCAAGUCGAACGGAAAGGCCCUGCUUUUGUGGGUUUCUCGAUUGCCGAAGGCGUGAGUAUCACGUGUGUAUCCUGCCCUUGACUUUCGGAUAACUUCACGAAACUGGGGCUAAUAUCGGAUAGGAUCUCCUGCUCCAUGGUGGGCGUUGGAAAGUUUCGGCUUUUGUGGAUGGACUCGCGGCUUACCCGCUUGUUGGUGGGGUAGUGGCUGACCCAGGCUUUGAGGGGUACGCGGCCUGACUGAGUGAACGGCGACAUAGGGACUGAGAGAGGGCACAGACUGCUACGGGAGGCAGAAGUGGGGAAUAUUGCACAAGGAGCGGGAGCGGGAUGAAGAAGCGCCGCGGGCGGGAUGACGGUCUUAGGGGUGAAAAACGCAUUCGCCUGUGACGAAGCGGGAGUGAAGGUAAUGGGUAAAGAAGCACCGGCUAACUACGUG
rnacentral:rRNA from 1 species